CUCUCCUUGGUGUAGUUGGUUUAUCACGUUCGACUGUAAUUGUUCAAAUUGUUAUCGAAAGGUCCCUAGUUCGAUUCUGGGAGGAGAGA
rnacentral:tRNA from 1 species